UGUCCUUCUACUCCACCAUCCUGUCUCCAAGAGCAGUUAGUAGCAGUGCCUGGGUAACAGUACAAGGACAACAAAGAGGCUGCUCCUCCUCACAUUUCCCCCAGAGAGCUGGAUGCAUUGGGUCACAUGCAGACCAUCACUGUGAGGAGGAGAUGCUGGAACCACUCAUACUUUCUUCUCCCUGGAUAGCAUUUCAUCAUUUCAUCUGCCGUGUUGUGGGCUGCAGUUAAGUGUGAGCAGAAUUCUACACAAACAAAUGGCUUCUCUGCUUCUCCAGGCUCAAUAAGGAAUUUACAAGUCACUAAGAUAAUUAAUGACUUUAAGGGGGAGGAAGGGGCAUUUGGAUUUGCAAGGAACCACAACUUAUUUUCCUGUUUAAAUUAAUCACUAGUGUUGUUUAAAUGUCUCAGUGACACUGGGGAAAAAAAGACAAAUUUAUUUGUCUUUGGAAUUUUAAUAGCAAUUACAGUUCUCCAUGAUAAACAUAGCCAAAAUACAA